rnacentral:rRNA from 1 species
UACGUAGGGGCCUAGCGUUGUCCGGAAUCAUUGGGCGUAAAGAGCGCGUAGGCGGCCCGGUAAGUCCGCUGUAAAAGUCAAAGGCUCAACCUUUGAAUGUCAGUGGAUACUGCCGGGCUAGAGUCCGGAAGAGGCGAGUGGAAUUCCUGGUGUAGCGGUGGAAUGCGCAGAUAUCAGGAGGAACACCGGUGGCGAAGGCGGGUCUCUGGGCCGAUACUGACGCUGAGGAGCGAAAGCGUGGGGAGCGAACAGG